rnacentral:rRNA from 1 species
CUACGGGAGGCAGCAGUGGGGAAUCUUGCGCAAUGGGCGAAAGCCUGAUCCAGCCAUGCCGCGUGAGUGACGAAGGUCUUCGGAUUGUAAAGCUCUUUUGGCGGGGACGAUAAUGACGGUACCCGCAGAAUAAGCCCCGGCUAACUUCGUGCCAGCAGCCGCGGUAAUACGAAGGGGGCUAGCGUUGUUCGGAAUUACUGGGCGUAAAGCGCACGUAGGCGGACUCUUAAGUCAGGGGUGAAAUCCCGGGGCUCAACCUCGGAACUGCCUUUGAUACUGUGAGUCUCGAGACCGGAAGAGGUGAGUGGAAUUCCUAGUGUAGAGGUGAAAUUCGUAGAUAUUAGGAAGAACACCAGUGGCGAAGGCGGCUCACUGGUCCGGUUCUGACGCUGAGGUGUGAAAGCGUGGGGAGCAAACAGGAUUAGAAACCCUUGUAGUCC